GAUGAACGCUAGCUACAGGCUUAACACAUGCAAGUCGAGGGGCAGCGCGCUGGUGCAGCAAUGCAUUGGUGGCGGCGACCGGCGGAUGGGUGAGUAACGCGUAUCCAACCUGCCCCCGGCCCGGGCACAGCCCAUGGAAACGUGGAUUAACGCCCGAUGCGCCUAAGAGCCGCAUGGCUUUUUAGGUGAAAACAGGCAGGGGAUGGGGAUGCGUCCCAUUAGGCAGCAGGCGGGGUAACGGCCCACCUGGCCGACGAUGGGUAGGGGUUCUGAGAGGAAGGUCCCCCACAUUGGGACUGAGACACGGCCCAAACUCCUACGGGAGGCAGCAGUGAGGAAUAUUGGUCAAUGGGCGUGAGCCUGAACCAGCCAAGUAGCGUGGAGGAAGGAUGCCCUACGGGUUGUAAACUCCUUUAGUGCGGGAAUAACGCGCGCCACGUGUGGUGCAGUGCAGGUACCGCAAGAAUAAGGGCCGGCUAAUUCCGUGCCAGCAGCCGCGGUAAUACGGAAGGCCCGAGCGUUAUCCGGAUUUAUUGGGUUUAAAGGGAGCGCAGGCGGGAGCGUAAGUCAGCUGUUAAAAUGCGGCGCCCAACGCCGUAGUGCAGUUGAAACUGCGUUUCUUGAGUCCGCAAGAGGCAGGCGGAAUUUGUGGUGUAGCGGUGAAAUGCAUAGAUAUCACGAAGAACUCCGAUUGCGAAGGCAGCUUGCCGGGGCGCGACUGACGCUCAUGCUCGAAGGUGCGGGUAUCAAACAGGAUUAGAUACCCUGGUAGUCCGCACAGUAAACGAUGGAUGCCCGCGGUGCGGCCGUUAGGUUACGCCGCCAAGCGAAAGCGUUAAG
rnacentral:rRNA from 1 species